UACGGAAGGGGCAAGCGUUGUUCGGAAUCAUUGGGCGUAAAGGGCGCGUAGGUUGUUCUGUGUGUCUGCCGUGAAAGCAUACAGCUCAACUGUAUUUUGUCGGCAGAAACUGCAGGACUUGAGGCUGGGAGGGGCUGGUGGAAUUCCCUGUGUAGCGGUGAAAUGCGUAGAGAUGGGGGAGAACACUCGUGGCGAAGGCGGCCAGCUAGACCAGUUCUGACACUGAGGCGCGAUAGCGUGGGGAGCAAACAGG
rnacentral:rRNA from 1 species